GCACAGUCCCACACCCAGGGCCUUGGAAGCCAGCUGGCUUUGCAUACACUCUCCCUGCCAUCUGAUCCUUGGAUGGGGGUAGGGGGAAAAGGGAAGGAGGGAGCGGGAAGGAGUACCUCCCCCCUGCCUGAGUCCUCAGUCCCACACCCAGCUUCAGAAGGCCAGCUGGCUCUUCACUCAUCCCCCUCUUUGGCAGCUGAUCCUGGGGAAAGGGGGAAAAGGAGAAUUGCUCCUCUGCUGCCAGUGCUUAAACCUAGGUCCAGGCCAGGGUCUAGGGUUCACCCUAGUGUUGAGGUGAAUUGGCAAAUCUUGGUCAGGGGAAGGUAGAAGAUGAUGCCCCCAAGAGAGUAGAUGGAAGAGGAUUUCACCUAGCAGCCAACCCCCUUGUCUGGAAACUGGAGUUGAUGGGAUGGGGGGAGUGAGGGAGGGAAGGAAUGGGAGUUAAAGUUGUGCCUGUUGAUCCAGUGUUGGGCCUGCCCCUUGACAGAUGCUUUCAGGCAGAGGAGGUGAAGUUCAGGGGCAUAGCACUGGGUACCUUGUCAGUGCCUUUUCAGGUAUUUGGGAGGCUGCGCUGCCUGUGCUACAGAUUCUCCAGGAGGGACUUGAGAAUCACAGGGACAGGAGACUUCCCCUCGGCUUGUUUUAACAAAGAAUUCUGGAAUUAACCUUGUGGAAGAGAGAUUCUCCCAACUUCUGACGAGUCAGUGCAGACUUGCUGCCUGUUGUGCCAUCAGGAGCGCAAGGACUGGGGAGGCCCUUCCCACAAUGGGCUGGUCUCCUCUGGGGAGAGACCCCCGCCUGACUUUGUGCCAACAAUCGUGCAGAACCUGCUGGGAGAGAUGCCUCUAUGGAUCUGCCAGAGCUGCCGAAAGAGUGUGGAGGAUGAGGAAAGGAAAGCCCUUCAAGAACAGUCCCUGGCGGUCUCAUUAUCACACACGUCCUGCAAGUCACAGUCUUGUGGGGGUGGCUCCCACUCCUCUUCCUCUUCUUCUUCCUCGUCAUCAUCGUCCUCCUCCUCAUGCCAUGGGAACUCAGGGGACUGGGAUCCCAGCUCGUUCCUGUCUGCACACAAACUCUCAGGCCUCUGGAACUCCCAGCAGGCUGGCGGUACCAUGCAGGGCCCCUCGAUUGGUGGCCCUCCUGCUGCACCUGGUGAGGCCUUCCACUCCUCUGAACAUCACCGGCACUCAGACCUCACCGCCCCCCCCAACAGUCCCACUGGCCAUCCCCAACCACCAGCAUCACUGAUCCCUGCUCACCCAGGACCCUUUGGAUCUCCACCCCAUGCCCACCUAACCCCUACUGCCCAGGUAGCAUCUUUCCCCACACCUGUUCCCAACAAUCAUGCUCCAGUGCCCAAGACACCUUCUGAGUCACCUGCUGCUGCUGCUGCCAUUGCUGCCCCACAUAGCCCAGCACCAUGUAAGAGCCCUCAUCUGUCCUCUGCCAACAUGCCGCUUCUGAAGAUGCCUCCUCCACUUUCAGGGUGUAAUCACCCCUGCAACGGGCACUGCACUGGGUCUCUGGUCCCUCAAGCUGCCUCACAUCAACUUCCCAGCACUAACAGAGACCCUGGAUGCAAGGGGCACAAGUUUACAAAUGGUACUGGCUGCCACCCGCCACAGUCGUGUGACACAGACGAGGGGCUGGGAGAGGAUGAGGACAGCAGCUCAGAGCGAAGCUCCUGCACCUCAUCCUCCACCACUCAGAAAGAUGGGAAAUUCUGUGACUGCUGCUACUGCGAGUUCUUUGGACACAACGCGCCCCCCGCUGCCCCGACAAGUCGCAACUACGCUGAAAUCCGAGAGAAGCUGCGCUCACGGCUGACGAAGAGGAAAGAGGAGCUGCCCCAGAAGAUGGGCCUGGCAGGAAGUGGCCCAGGUGAACCAGCUGUGGACCAUCGGGAUGUGGACGAACUGCUGGACUACAUCAACAGUACUGAACCCAAACCCCUCAAUAGUGCCAAGGCAGCCAAGCGAGCCCGUCACAAACUGAAGAAGAAGGAGAAGGAGAAAGCCCAGCUGGAAGCUGAGGGCUCUAAGCGUGCUGAUCGUAGCUCCAUGGCUGGUCGGGGUGCAGAACCAUCAGGGGAGAAGCUUUUGGAGUGGCCCCAGCUUGAACUGGAGCGGGUCAACAGCUUCUUGACCAGCCGCUUGCAGGAGAUUAAGAAUACCAUCAAAGAGUCCAUCCGAGCCAGCUUCAGUGUUUAUGACCUUAAUCUGGAUGUGAAUGACUUUCCUAAAAAGGCAGCCAUGCUGGAGCAGAGGGACCUGCUUUCGCGCCUCAAUGGCUCAUCUGACCUGCAGGAGAUUGGCCUAGAUCUCUCACCUUUGACUUUGGGUUCCUCCCAGAACCACACACUACACUCCCCCAGUGAGCCGAGCCUGCCCCAGGAUGAGAGAGUGCCUUUUCCCCCACCUCCCACCACUGAGAAUGGGCUACUUAAAAGGCUUAGUGCUGUGCCCAACCUCUCCCGGAUGAUCUGGGUUCAGUCCCCAAAGGCUGCUGACUCAGUCCCUGAAGGGCCGGGCCGGAAUGUGAAGGAUGCAGUCUCUGUCAAUGGACCUGAGCUCCCCGAGCCCCCACCUGGAGGAGGGGGGAGGCAAAAGAAGAAUAAAAGGCAGAACAGUCAGGCCAAGAAAAACGAGACAUAUGGAGUACCUGGGCAUCAGGCCAAGCUGGAGAGCCCUCCCACCAAGGGACAGGCUUCAGGAGCCAGGCAACCAGCCAAGGGCCCAGAGCCCCCAGAAGGACCCCGAGGGAGCCGGUCAGGGCAGAACUGGGCUUGGAGUGCCAAGGCUGAGAAAGGAAACUUGUGGAGAAGCCGGAAGAGUGAGACCAAAAUGGACCGGCCAGAGCAGGAAUCCGUGCAGCCACCUGGCCCUGGCCAUGGGCUACUCGGGAGCCCGGCCAGCCUGGGGGCCUCACCACAGACCAAGGGGAAGCAAAGGAAGAACCGGAACAAGAUGGAGAAGUCUACCACCUCUCUGGAUGACGUAUUCCUGCCCAAGGAUGUGGAUGGAGUAGAGAUGGAUGAGACGGACCGGGAGGUGGAAUACUUCAAGAGGUUCUGCCUGGAUUCUGCAAAGCAGACGCGUCAAAAAGUGGCUGUGAACUGGACCAACUUCACCCUCAAGAAAAUCACUUCCAGCGCAGCUCAGUGAGGACUGGCCUGGCUAUGGGAGGCCUCAUAUGCACGCUCUGUGGACUGGAAAGUUUGGCAUCCCGUGUAGCAUUCCUGCCUCCUCUCCUGUUCCUACUCCCCAUUGUGGCAUUGUUUCCCCUCUGCACAUCAUUUUGUGAGCCUGAAGGCACAGGCAUGUCCCUCAGCCUGCUGGUCUCUGGCCUCCAUGGUUAGCUGUCUGCCUGAAAGCUUGGAUUGUUGGACCAAAGGCUGGAGCAGCUGUCCUUCAGGGCCUGGGGAAACUGACUGAAAAGGGAGGAAAAUUGAGAUUCCAUUUCUUGAGGGGGAACUCAUGGGACGAUGGUCUUGUUAAACUUGGCGCAGGGCCCCAGCUGCUACAUGGCCUGUCUUCCCACCUUUGUAGCACCCUCUGCAGUGAGGAGUGAAGGGUUGGGGGGAUAUAGAUCAGGGCUGCACAGCUACACUCAUCAGGGAGGGGCUGGACAGGUCCCUGGUACACUCGCAGCUGCAUUCUGUCCUCAGGAAUUGAGAGAGAACCUGCUCUCUCCUCUCCCUUACCAACACGAGCCUUCCUCUCCUCCCUUCCAGUGAGGUUGGGAAACCUCCCAAGUAACUAGCUACAGGCAGUCAUUUUCAUUCUGGAAUAAAUGGUUCCAGGAAUCUCCCUCAUUGCUCCUCCCCUUACCUCCUCCUUGCUUUUAGAAGUGCUCUCUGAACCUCCUGCCUUCCUCUGAAAACAGGACACUUCCUAUCCCUAUGAUCCAGAACCGAAAGGCCCUUUAGAGAUUAUUUAGUCCACCUCCUGUACCCCUAUUCCCUUAUUUUACAGUAGCUUACUCAAGGUUAAAGUUGGUAAGUAGUUUAGCCAGGAUUAGAACCUCCCAGGUUCUAAUUGGACUCCAAAUUCACUACUGUCAGUGUCCCCCAAACCAGCUACUUAGGGCCUCUGGCCUGACUUGCUGAACACAGAAGUAAUAAACUCUUUUGAGAGUUUAGUGGCAGCCCGUUCCCUAAAAGCUGAAUAUUGACCUGACUGUUGCCCUCUUUUUAAAAAUCCCGUUGCAGCAUCUGCCCAAUCAGCUAACUAACCCCAGCCCCUCAACCUUGUUCUAGAUUAUCUCUUUUCUACCCUGGGAUGGAGCACUGGAAGUUCCUAGGGUUCUGUUCCUAACUUUGCCAUCAGUGGUGGGGUGAGGAGCCUUUACAGAAUGCAGCAGGAAUGUUGAGUAUCCUUUGAGUGAGGCUGGGAUUUCCUUAGCCACUUUCCCAUUUGGCGGACCUAGUCUGUCCACAGACUCCUAAGCAUCACUCUGGGCAAUCAAAAUUGCCCCCUACACACUUGAGCUGACCCAGGAUGUGGAAGGUUAAAGCGGAUCAAGUUUCCACAGGCAGAACAAAUACCUCUGACCUAUGGGGAGAGCCCUUCCUUAGGAUAGACAUGUACUUGCUGAUGAGACUCAGUGUUUUAUGAAAUUCUUCACUUUUACAAAUUUCUCCUUCCCUUCUGUUCCCUGUGCCCCAAGUUCCCUUCCAGAAGGGAAUCAGGGAGUCAGGAUUAAGGAAUAGAUAGGAGCACAGAGACCACAGGCUCAGAAUUAUUGCUCUGACUUUUCCCCUGGUUUCCUUCUAACUCUACUCAUAGGCUUGUAGGAACUAGUAUCAUAUGCCCUGAUGUUCUCUUGUGCUCCUUCUCUAAUCUCAGUCCUUUUUCCUUGGAUUUGUGGAGCCGACAUUCCCAACCAGCCUUUUCUGGGCUAGUUGGCUGAGCGACCUGAAACUGGAAGGCAAGGGUAGUCUCCACUCAUUCCCUUUCCUUUUCCCCUUCCCCUUUUGACUUGGGUAUGGAGAGCUAAGCAGCCAGAGUUGUUAAAACCAGGUGUUGACACUUAUCUAGGAAUGUCUGGGGAUGGGAAGUUAGUUGGAGGAGCAGGGGUCAAGGUAACAGAGAGCUAAACACCUGUAGAGAGCAGCAAAAUCUCAGGGCUUUGGAGACCCAUAGCCUGAGGCCAUCUAGCUGCUGGGGCUGCUGCCUCAGGAAGAAUUGCUGCGCUCCUUCUUCCAUCAGAGAAGACAGGAGCUUGGCAUUCAACAUGACAUGCUGGUUCUUCCACAGCCCAAGGGAGCAGAAUUUGGUGGUGGUAGUGCCCUCUUGCCCUAGGGAGGACCAGCUCUGUAGCAAAAAGGACCCCUUGUGCUCACCCCAGGAGGUGGUUUCCCUUCCUUGAGGCCUAGAAUACCUUUUGAAAGCACCCACUAUAUUCUGUCCUGUCUUUCUCCUCCCAGGCGUGUGUUCUCCCUCCUGUGAUUGGGGAAAUGGGGAUAGAGAUCGAAGGCAAUCCAGAUAUUCUGAUAAAUGUUUUUUAUUUCCUUUUGUAACCCAAGGAGCGGAAAUGGCAGGCAGGCCUGCUCCUGUUGCCAUGGUGAUAAGGGGGUGGAGGUGGGGGUAGUGAAGGGAUUGGAACCAUUCCUGAUGUAUGUUAAAAGCCUAAACUAUGGAACAGGAAGAGAAGCUGGUUGUGUUAUCACCCUCUUUUUUCCCCAGCCCCUGCCUGGUCCACACUGAACUAUUCUUCUCCAGGAUGGUCGUAGCUCUUGGGUAUUGGCUGAAUGUCUGGAGAGAAAAUAUUCUCCCUCCCCCUCCUGCCCUCAUGGUGGCUCUUUCCUACCUGCCCACUUGCCACCUGACCACCUAAGAACCCCUCUCCCCGGAUGAACCAAAACCUGGAUUGACACUGAGCUGUGAUGGAAACAAACUCUGGAUCUUCGAAAAGCCGAUUUCUGGUGCUAGCCAGCCUCCACACUUGGAGCCCGGACUGGGACGGGCUGCUCCCCCCAGGGCGCUGUGGGGCAAAGGAGCUGGUGGAAUUGCCUGCCCAGCGCUUCUCUCUGUGUUUGGUUUUUUUUUUUAUUCUUUACUUU